AUUGAACGCUGGCGGCAGGCUUAACACAUGCAAGUCGAACGGUAACAGAGAAUAGCUUGCUAUUUUGCUGACGAGUGGCGGACGGGUGAGUAAUGCUUGGGAAUUUGCCUUGUUGUGGGGGACAACAGUUGGAAACGACUGCUAAUACCGCAUAAUGUCUACGGACCAAAGGUGGCCUCUAUUUAUAUGCUAUCGCGACAAGAUGAGCCCAAGUGGGAUUAGCUAGUUGGUAAGGUAAUGGCUUACCAAGGCGACGAUCCCUAGCUGGUCUUAGAGGAUGACCAGCCACACUGGAACUGAGACACGGUCCAG
rnacentral:rRNA from 1 species